UUCUAAAGGAAAUGUGGAUCUCUUUCAGGCCAAGAUUUAGUCUCGUUUCCACUAGACAGCAGGUUAAUACCUAGUUCUCAUUUAAAAAAGAGUGGGGUAAGGGGCCUAAUUAGGUUUGCUGGUUGUUGUUUUUUUUUUUAAAUUAAUUCCAAAGCAUGGCAGAAUGCUAUAGGUAGGAAAUAGGGAAAUCCAAGGUAAAGAAACCUUUUUCUUAUGAUUUGUAGCUACCUACUGUGCCUGACUUGGUGCCUGUGUGAGGAUUAAGCCCUUAGUCUGCUCUUGCAAUUACUCGAGUGACAAGUUUAAAAAUACUUGCUUUUGUAAUAAUAAAAGCUGUCACCUACCCUUUUGAAAAAAUAAAUAAGAUAAAA